rnacentral:lncRNA from 1 species
GGGUUCCACACAAUGUAAAUUAGUACUCCAAUAAAACGCUUGUGUUCAUACUGUUGCACCUUGUGUGCCACUUCCUCCCACCUUGCAUCCUCUUGGGGCAGCUACACAUUGAAAUUUUACUAGGAGAGUACCUAGCCUCAAAGAGCUCUUGCAAAGGGGCACAACAAAGAAAGGUAUAACCAUGUCUCGCUCCAAAGGCCCAUUACACAAGAUACAAUGCUCCUGAUGAGGCCAUCUUCCUCUUUUAUAGAUUAUCUAUCAUUAGGAUUUUUGUUAUGCAUGAGUAUCGAGGUGUGAUCUUUGCAUUUAUUUCCUGCUUGCGCCUUCUAAAGCCUUGUUUAGUUGGGGAAAAUUUUUGACUUUGUUUACUGUAGUAUUUCGUUUGUAUUUGGUAAUUAUUGUCCAAUUGUGGACUAAUUAGGUUCAAAAAAUUUGUCUCGCAAAUUACAGACAAAUUGUGCAAUUAGUUAUUUUUUAUCUAUAUUUAAUAUUUCAUGCAUGCGUUUAAAGAUUCGAUGUAACGAGAAUCUUGAAGUUUUUUUAGGACCUAAAUAAUAAUAAGGUAUGCGUGGAAUCUUUUGGUGUGAUCCUUCCAACUGAAUCCUGUACGCCGAAAUGUGCAGAGUAAUUUUCGUCAACCAUAAGUUUCCAAGUUGUAGAAUCCUGGACGUCGGGCAGCAGUUGUACAUUUUGUAGUCCGAUCCAUAGAGCGACGAAUUCUUAGAUUUGUGUGG